UACAGAGGGUGCAAGCGUUAUCCGGAAUGAUUGGGCGUAAAGCGUCUGUAGGUGGCUUUUUAAGUCCGCCGUCAAAUCCCAGGGCUCAACCCUGGACAGGCGGUGGAAACUACCAAGCUGGAGUACGGUAGGGGGCAGAGGGGAUUCCCGGUGUAGCGGUGAAAUGCGUAGAUAUCGGGAGGAACACCAGUGGCGAAGGCGAUCACCUGGGGUUGUUCUGACGCUGAGGAGCGAAAGCUAGGGGAGCAAACGGGG
rnacentral:rRNA from 1 species